GUUAUCGUUUAUUUGAUAGUGCCUUAUUACUCGGAUAACCGGGGUAAUUCUAGAGCUAAUACGUGCUUCAAAUCCCAACUUCACGAAGGGAUGUGUUUAUUAGAUUCAAAGCCAAUGCCUUCGGGGCUUUUACUGGUGAUUCAUGAUAACCGCUCGAAUCGCACGGCCUCGCGCCGGCGAUGGUUCAUUCCAAUUUCUGCCCUAUCAACUUUCGAUGGCUGGGUAGUGGCCAGCCAUGGUGACAACGGGUAACGGAGGGUUAGGGCUCGACCCCGGAGAAGAAGCCAGAGUAACGGCUUCUACAUCCAAGGAAGGCAGCAGGCGCGCAAAUUACCCAAUCCCGACUCGGGGAGGUAGUGACAAUAAAUACUGAUACAGGGCUCUUUUGGGUCUUGUAAUUGGAAUGAGUACAAUUUAAAUCCCUUAACGAGGAACAAUUGGAGGGCAAGUCUGGUGCCAGCAGCCGCGGUAAUUCCAGCUCCAAUAGCGUAUAUUAAAGUUGUUGCGGUUAAAAAGCUCGUAGUUGAACCUCGGAACUGGCCGGCCGGUCCGCCUCACCGCGUGCACUGGCUCGGCCGGUUCCUUCCCGCUGGGGAACCGCAUGCCCUUUACUGGGUGUGUCGGGGAACCAGGACUUUUACUUUGAAUAAAUCAGAUCGCUCCAAGAAGGCCUUCGCUCGGAUGCAUUAGCAUGGAAUAAUGAAAUAGGACGCGCGGUUCUAUUUCGUUGGUUUUUAGGACCGCCGUAAUGAUUAAGAGGGACAGUCGGGGGCAUCAGUAUUCAGUUGUCAGAGGUGAAAUUCUUGGAUCUACUGAAGACUAACUACUGCGAAAGCAUUUGCCAAGGAUGUUUUCAUUAAUCAGGAACGAAAGUUGGGGGAUCGAAGACGAUCAGAUACCGUCGUAGUCUCAACCAUAAACCAUGCCGACUAGGGAUCGGACGAUGCUAUUCUAUGGCUCGUUCGGCACCUUACGCAGAAAGCAAAGUUUUGG
rnacentral:rRNA from 1 species